rnacentral:rRNA from 1 species
GAUGAACGCUGGCGGCGUGCCUAAUACAUGCAAGUCGAGCGAAUGGAUUAAGAGCUUGCUCUUAUGAAGUUAGCGGCGGACGGGUGAGUAACACGUGGGUAACCUGCCCAUAAGACUGGGAUAACUCCGGGAAACCGGGGCUAAUACCGGAUAACAUUUUGAACCGCAUGGUUCGAAAUUGAAAGGCGGCUUCGGCUGUCACUUAUGGAUGGACCCGCGCCGCAUUAGCUAGUUGGGGAGGUAACGGCUCACCAAGGCAACGAUGCGUAGCCGACCUGAGAGGGUGAUCGGCCACACUGGGACUGAGACACGGCCCGGACUCCUACGGGAGGCAGCAGUAGGGAAUCUUCCGCAAUGGACGAAAGUCUGACGGAGCAACGCCGCGUGAGUGAUGAAGGCUUUCGGGUCGUAAAACUCUGUUGUUAGGGAAGAACAAGUGCUAGUUGAAUAAGCUGGCACCUUGACGGUACCUAACCAGAAAGCCACGGCUAACUACGUGCCAGCCGCCGCAGUAA